rnacentral:rRNA from 1 species
UGCAAGUCGAACGGUAACAGGUCUUCGGAUGCUGACGAGUGGCGAACGGGUGAGUAAUACAUCGGAACGUGCCUAGUAGUGGGGGAUAACUACUCGAAAGAGUAGCUAAUACCGCAUGAGAUCUACGGAUGAAAGCAGGGGACCUUCGGGCCUUGUGCUACUAGAGCGGCUGAUGGCAGAUUAGGUAGUUGGUGGGGUAAAGGCUUACCAAGCCUGCGAUCUGUAGCUGGUCUGAGAGGACGACCAGCCACACUGGGACUGAGACACGGCCCAGACUCCUACGGGAGGCAGCAGUGGGGAAUUUUGGACAAUGGGCGAAAGCCUGAUCCAGCAAUGCCGCGUGCAGGAUGAAGGCCCUCGGGUUGUAAACUGCUUUUGUACGGAACGAAAAGCCUGGGGCUAAUAUCCCCGGGUCAUGACGGUACCGUAAGAAUAAGCACCGGCUAACUACGUGCCAGCAGCCGCGGUAAUACGUAGGGUGCAAGCGUUAAUCGGAAUUACUGGGCGUAAAGCGUGCGCAGGCGGUUUUGUAAGACAGUGGUGAAAUCCCCGGGCUCAACCUGGGAACUGCCAUUGUGACUGCAAGGCUAGAGUGCGGCAGAGGGGGAUGGAAUUCCGCGUGUAGCAGUGAAAUGCGUAGAUAUGC